rnacentral:rRNA from 1 species
CGUAGGUGGCAAGCGUUGUCCGGAAUUACUGGGCGUAAAGGGCGCGUAGGCGGUACCCUAAGUUAGAUGUGAAAACCCGAAGCUUAACUUCGGACCUGCAUUUAAAACUGGGGAACUCGAGUGUCGGAGAGGAAAGCGGAAUUCCAAGUGUAGCGGUGAAAUGCGUAGAUAUUUGGAGGAACACCAGUGGCGAAGGCGGCUUUCUGGACGAUAACUGACGCUGAGGCGCGAAAGCGUGGGGAGCAAACAGGAUUAGAUACCCUGGUAGUCCACGCUGUAAACGAUGGAUACUAGGUGUGGGAGGUAUCGAACCCUUCCGUGCCGCAGUUAACGCAAUAAGUAUCCCGCCUGGGGAGUACGGCCGCAAGGUUG